GUGCUCCCUUCAGCAUCACAUAGACGAAAAUUGGAAAGACACUGAGAAGAUUAGCUUUGCCCUUCUGCAAAGAUGACAUGCAAGUUCACCAAGAAUUCUGUGUUUUU